rnacentral:sRNA from 1 species
AAAAAAAAUGAAAAACA